rnacentral:SRP_RNA from 1 species
GCCGGGUGCGGUGGCGCGUGCCUGUAAUCCAAGCUACCGGGAGGCUGAGGUUGGAGGAUCGUUUGAGCUCAGGAGCUCUGAGCUGCAGCAGGCUAUGUCGAUCGGGUGUCCGCACUAAGUUCGGCAUUGAUAUGGUGAUCCUGGGGGAGCCCGGGACCACCAGGUCGUCUAAGGAGGGGUGCACCGGCCCAGGUCGGAGACGGAGCAGGUCAAAGCCCCCGUGUCGCUCAGUAGUGGGAUCGCGCCUGUGAAUAGAUGCUGUAGCGCAGCCUGAGCAUACAGCGAGACCCAAUCUUUA